rnacentral:tRNA from 1 species
UCCCUGGUGUCUCAGUGGUAAAGAAUCCACCUGCCAAUGUGGGAGACACGGGUUCGAUCCCUGAUCCGGGAA